GUUACGUUUGUCCUGCUUCUGAGAAGAUCAGCCACUUCAGAAUGAACCAAUUAAUACAAUCGCUAGGUGCCCUCCUGUAGUACCUCUGUGAGGUUUGAAGGACUUGCCCUGAUGAACCUCCACUUCCCUGUAAUUCCCUAUAAGAUCUGCAGCACAAAGCUGUGAAGGUGCUGGUCAGGGGUGGAAUGCAACUGAUGCUGUCACCAGACUCUAAUCCCAAUAUCUCCCAGAUAUUCCACAGAUACCACAUUCUAACCAGAAUAAUCUGCAUCAUCUAAAGGGUUUAUGAUAUGUGGCUGUGGGACUGGACCAAUAUGAGCCCACAGAAGCCUGCAUACUUGGAACCACUUGGUGGGAUCAAUGUCAUUAGGAGACACAACUAUAAAUGCUGUCAUUCAACCCAGCUUGAAUGAAUAACAAAGAACAUGCUCCAGGAGGAUAAAGAACAGAGCAUCUCCUUGGUUUGUGCAGGCUUCCCACUGCAGCUGCCAUGCAGCAGAAACUGAAUGAUUCCAUAAAGUCAAGAAAUAACCAUGAUGGCUCUUCGUAAGCGUAAGCUUGGAUCACUGGAGGUCCAGGGCAGUGUUCCCGGCCUGCCUCACAUAGGACGGUGAGGGGUGAGUGGGUUUCACUACAAAUAAAGAUCUUCAAGUGAAUA
rnacentral:lncRNA from 1 species